rnacentral:rRNA from 1 species
GAUCCUGGCUCAGGAUGAACGCUAGCUACAGGCUUAACACAUGCAAGUCGAGGGGCAGCAUGACCUAGCAAUAGGUUGAUGGCGACCGGCGCACGGGUGAGUAACACGUAUCCAACCUACCGGUUAUUCCGGGAUAGCCUUUCGAAAGAAAGAUUAAUACCGGAUAGUAUAACGAGAAGGCAUCUUUUUGUUAUUAAAGAAUUUCGAUAACCGAUGGGGAUGCGUUCCAUUAGUUUGUUGGCGGGGUAACGGCCCACCAAG